rnacentral:rRNA from 1 species
GACGAACGCUGGCGGCGUGCUUAACACAUGCAAGUCGAACGGAAAGGCCCUGCUUUUGUGGGGUGCUCGAGUGGCGAACGGGUGAGUAACACGUGAGUAACCUGCCCUUGACUUUGGGAUAACUUCAGGAAACUGGGGCUAAUACCGGAUAGGAGCUCCUGCUGCAUGGUGGGGGUUGGAAAGUUUCGGCGGUUGGGGAUGGACUCGCGGCUUAUCAGCUUGUUGGUGGGGUAGUGGCUUACCAAGGCUUUGACGGGUAGCCGGCCUGAGAGGGUGACCGGGCGACUGGGACGCGGGACAGCCAGCAGACGCGGUGGGGAGGCAGGGGGGGGGAAAAGUAAGCGAGGGGCGGAAGCAGGAGGCAGCGACGCCGGGUGUGGGACACCUGGCUGGGGGUUGUACGCCACUUCCCCCGGUGACGAAGCGUGGGGCAGGGUAAGAAAAAAAAGACAACCUGAAAACACCGGGCCAGCCGCUGCGGUAAAGAGGAAAGCCCACUAAUCUAAAC